AGCUGCGGUGGAAGCUGCGGGGAGAGGCGGUUCUUGGAAGGCGUGGAAACCCACGCAACGUUCCCGAUAACGGGAUAUCGAUCUCAAGUGAUCGGUGCCGAUGAAACGAGCCGGAAGAGAAGAAGAGACUUUUACAGUUUCUUCAGAUGCAGCCAGGAGGAGCCGGCAGAGCCCGGAUGUGUGGACUAACUUAUUGAGGAGGACUUUGUUCACAGUUUAAACCUCAGACUCAUGAAGGAGACAGACGGAGCCGAGUGAGCGUGUUUACCGGAGCUGUCUGGAGGAAAUGUUUCUGAGCUCGUGAACAUGUCUAAAGUCCAAAUGGAAAUGGAACUUUGUAGUUUAAAGGAGGAGAACCAGCGACACCGGAAGCUGCUGCACGCCGUGUUCAACCCGGAAGUCCGGGUCCAACGAGCAGAGAACCCAGAGCCCCCCCACAUCAAAGAGGACCAGGAGGACCCAGAGCCCCCCCACAUCAAAGAGGAACAGGAGGACCCAGAGCCCCCCCACAUAAAAGAGGACCAGGAGGAC